rnacentral:lncRNA from 1 species
GGGGACUCCAGAACAGUGGCACGGCCAAAAAUAUCCAGUCAUGAUGAAGACUAUAUCAAGGAUUUUUCUGGCAAAAUGGCAUUAAUGCACAGGAGGCUGUGAGCCCAACUCCCAGAAGGGAGCUCAGGCUCUGGGCUCUGAUUUGGGACAGGAGCUCAGGCUCUGGGCUCUGAUUUAGGACAGAAGCUCAGGCUCUGAUUUAGGACAGGAGCUCAGGCUCUGGGCUCUUUCCCUCCUGAGCAGCCAAGCAACACCAGGCAGUGCCAGCUCUGCCCGUGGCUUCUCUGAUGUGGAAGGAGACAGCAAACAACUGAUUUAGCACAGCCUGAAGAGCCUCACACAAGGAUGGCUGCCAGAAGAGCCCAGGGUGUUUGAUGCACCAACCCAGCUCUAAAAGUCCCUGCAAGCCUCUGUCCUUCUGCUGAGAAGCCCAAGCACGUGUUGCUCUCCUCAUGAUAUUAUAAGGGGGACCAAAGUUUAUAAUAAUGACAGAACUCACUGAGUUUGAUUUUUGAAAAUUAAAAAUGCAUACAUUUGCUCUGCACACGACCUAAUGCCUUUGUAUGAACCCACUCCUGUGAUUCAGGUUUGAUUUUUAGAGCCAAGCAAGCGCAAGGUUCCAAAA